rnacentral:rRNA from 1 species
ACGGAAGGCAGCAGUGGGGAAUAUUGGGCAAUGGGCGCAAGCCUGACCCAGCAACGCCGCGUGAAGGAAGAAGGCUUUCGGGUUGUAAACUUCUUUUACCAGGGACGAAGGACGUGACGGUACCUGAAGAAAAAGCCACGGCUAACUACGUGCCAGCAGCCGCGGUAAUACGUAGGUGGCAAGUGUUGUCCGGAUUUACUGGGUGUAAAGGGCGUGUAGGCGGAGAUGCAAGUCAGGAGUGAAAUCUAUGGGCUCAACCCAUAAACUGCUUUUGAAACUGCAUCCCUUGAGUAUCGGAGAGGCAGGCGGAAUUCCUAGUGUAGCGGUGAAAUGCGUAGAUAUUAGGAGGAACACCAGUGGCGAAGGCGGCCUGCUGGACGACAACUGACGCUGAGGCGCGAAAGCGUGGGGAGCAAACAGGAUUAGAUACCCUGGUA